GAUGAACGCUGGCGGCGUGCCUAAUACAUGCAAGUCGAGCGAAUGGAUUAAGAGCUUGCUCUUAUGAAGUUAGCGGCGGACGGGUGAGUAACACGUGGGUAACCUGCCCAUAAGACUGGGAUAACUCCGGGAAACCGGGGCUAAUACCGGAUAACAUUUUGAACCGCAUGGUUCGAAAUUGAAAGGCGGCUUCGGCUGUCACUUAUGGAUGGACCCGCGUCGCAUUAGCUAGUUGGUGAGGUAACGGCUCACCAAGGCAACGAUGCGUAGCCGACAUGAGAGGGUGAUCGGCCACCCUGGGACUGAGACCCGGCCCAGACUCCGACGGGAGGCAGCAGUAGGGAAUCUUCCGCAAUGGACGAAAGUCUGACGGAGCAACGCCGCGUGAGUGAUGAAGGCUUUCGGGUCGUAAAACUCUGUUGUUAGGGAAGAACAAGUGCUAGUUGAAUAAGCUGGCACCUUGACGGUACCUAACCAGAAAGCCACGGCUAACUACGUGCCAGCCGCCGCAGUAA
rnacentral:rRNA from 1 species